UUUGGAUAGGAAUUAUAAAUCAUAUUUGGAUUAGAAGUAAUAAAAAACAUAUAUAAAAGCUUAAGUUCAAGUUUUGUAAUCACAACAUUGAGAACUAAUAAAAAUUAAAUUUUGAGCUUUUCUUUAUAAUUAGCUUUAUGCUAAUUUUAGCAUCUUCAAGUUUUUCGAAGGUGAGGAGCUUUCCGAAAGCUUAUUGAGUCGAAGAGUUGGGAUCGACUUAUCCAGAAAGUUCGCAGCAUCUUUUUUUUUUCUUGCUUUAUUUUUCUAAUUUUUGUUUUUGCAUGUCAUUUAGGUGAAUGUAGAUUCAAGUAGAGGGAGGGGUUAACUAGGCGGUUACGUUUUUGUAUUGUGUGUGUUAGGUUGUGGUUCUGGAAGUCAAAACAAUCAUUCCUAUAUCCUUUCGCAUCAAUAGUGGUACCUUAUUUUUAAGAAAUUAGUUUAUGUAUAAACCUAUUUAGAAGAACAUUAAGUUGUUAAUCUUGUGAAAUUAAUUGAAAUUCAAGUCUUCUUCACCAAGAAAAACUCCAACUGUUAUUUUUAAUAAAAUGGAAUAACCUUUGCAUUUGAGCAACACUCAAUAAAUGUUAUUAUAAACCGAGAAUAAAGAGCACAUCAGUUAUGAGUUUAAUACAUUUCUUACUUUGAACAGGUAUUGAGCCUUUUUCUUGAGCUUCAACAACUGCCCUAUUGCCAAGUUUCAUUUUACUUCUGCAAUUGACACCCAAGUUGCUGAACAACAUUUCAUCAUUAGCCAUUUAGUUUCUGUACUCACUCUUCACAUACCACAAGUUAGUUCCACUCACAGAAGAGGCCUCAGUCAUCAUGGAAAAAUGACUUCCUGUCGUUCACGUUUCUCAGCAAAAUUAACUUGUUGUUGCUGAAGUGGUUGAUGUCAUUAUUGAGAUUCAUUCUUUUGCUGUGAUGCUUGAUUUUUUCUCUUCCAACAAACCUUCUCUAAAUGACCAUAUUUUUUGUAAAUCUUGCAUUGCAUAUGCUUCUAACAUUUAUUAUCAGGAUGUUUGGAUUUAGCAAAACUUCUACAAGAAGGAUACUUUCUUUUUAAUUCCAGCAAAUUCUUUUACUAUUUCUAUCAGUUUUUAAGUUUUUGUUUCCUUCAUUUUCUCAGUUAACUUUGUUGUAACUUAGUUGCUGAUGUUUCUAAAGUUAGUGGCUACUUAUGACUUAAAUACUGGUAGCAUUUUCUCAUCAGUUUUAUUCACUAUGUUUAAUGGAAAGUUAUUAGGGAAGUUACUUAUUUUUUCUGUAUAUAAAGUUUGUAAUUAAUAAAAUGGAAUCAUGUUG
rnacentral:lncRNA from 1 species